GGUAUAUACACGUGUACAUAAGUGUGCACAGUAUGUACAUAUGUACACUACACAUAUGUUCAUAUAAUGUAGAUAUGUACCUUCUGUACAGGAGUACACAGUAUGUACAAUAUAUACACGUAUAUACUAGGUACACAUAUAGGUGUAUACCCACUUUGGUAACCGGAGAGAUUUCUAUCUAAUAUACUAAAUAUAAAAUCCCAGAAUGUAGUCAUAGUGUGUACAUUUAUUGUCGUAUUGUGAUAAAUGUAUUAAAUAGGCACAAUCUGUACAUGUACUCUGCUGUACAUAGGUGUACACAAUGCACAUGUACAAAAAAUGUACAUAAUCUGUAAAAUAUGUACCUAUAUAUUUCUAUAAUGUGUACACAAUGCAUAGGUACAUAAUGUGUACACUAUGCACAUUCCUUAAAAUAUCAGUGAUAAAAUAUAUAUAAUCACAGUAAGAUAUAUAAUCACACUAAUACAUAUAUGUCGUGUAAUAUCACCAAAAAGUACGUAUUGUACACAUUAGGUAUGUAUUAGGUACAUAUGUAUAGUGCACAUAUUAUGAAAAUAUAUAUGUAUCAUGAUAACACCGUAUGUACACGUAUACAAAUAUGUGCCUACUAUUUAAACAAUGUACACAUGCAGAAAUAGGUGCAAACUACAUACCUAUGCACAGCAGGCUAUUACUACAGUUCUGCUCGUAGCAGCCUCAAUGCCCACCCUGGCUGCUUAAAGACCCCCGGCUAGGGGGCUGUACCCACAGCCCCCGCCAGAGGGCCCAUAACAGCUACCAGGCCCACGCUGGCUGCUUAGGGACCCCCUGCCUAGGGCGCUGUGCCCACAGCUGCUGGGGCCCGGCUAUUUUGAAAAUGUGGUGUAAUAUGAUACUGGCAACCAUAUCACACAGAAAUGAUAAUGUUAUUGUGGUUCUUUACAUAUUAGGCAAUAGUUCUAGUUACACAUUUGGCAUAUUGACAAAAAUGUCAUCCUCACCCCAUUGACAUUAGAAUUGAAAGCAUAGGAGGGUUUCACCCCUUGCAAUGUUUAAUUCAAUAUAAUUGUUUUCUUGUUUACAUUAGUGACCAUAUCAGAGCACGGUGUACAUCUCUUGCAGUAUUCAGAAUAUUUCUCUAUGGGCAGCAACAUUUUUCUCUCCUUAUCUGGAUAUUAGGAAGAAUAUCACAGGACCGGCUUACAGCGCCAGUCACAUCUGACCAUAUCAGAGCACAGUGUACUCCUCUUGCCGUAUUCAGAGGAUUUGCCUAUGGGCAGCAACAUUAUUCUCUCGUUCUCUGGAUAUUAGGAACAAUAUCACAGGACCGGCGGACAGCCCCAGUCAUAUCUGAAAAUAUCACAGCACGGUGUACUCGUCUUGCCGUAUUCAGAGGAUUUGCCUAUGGGCAGAAACAUUCCCCUCUCCUUCUCUGGAUAUUAGAAACAUUAUCACAGGACCGGCAAACAGCCGCAGUCAUAUCGUGAGUAAUGUCAUCUGUAAUCCCCUAGUUAUAAAAAACAACAUCAAGGGGGUCUUGUGCACUUUAUGAGAUACUUAGAGUAAUGUUAGGAUUUGGGUAAUUUACAUGAGGGAGAAUAUUGAGUUGGUGUAUACACUCCAAAACACAGUAGAAAAGGGCAUUGUAUAUUUUUUCUGACAGAUUAUAUUGAGAGCAAUUUUGCUUUUAACAUUGGGGUACCUAGAUAAUAUUUAGAUUUUUUUCGAUUAGCGUAAAUUAAGAAUUUCAGUAUUUUACACAAGAGAGCAUAUUGAAUUGGUGUAUAUACUCCAAAACAGAGUAGAAUAGGGCAUUGUAUAUUAUUUCUGACAGAUCAUAUUCAGAGCAAAUUUGCUUUUAACAUUGGGUUGCCUAGAUAAUAUUUAGAUUUUUUACGAUUCGCGUAAAUUUAGAAUUUCCAUAUUUUAAAUAAUAGAGCAUAUUGAGUUGGUGUAUAUACUCCAAAACAGAGUAGAAAAGCGCAUUUUAUAUGUUUUCUGACAGAUAAUAUUCAGAGCAAUGUUGCUGUUAACAUUGGGGUGCGUAGAUAAUAUUUAGAUUUUUUUCGAUUUGCGUAAAAUUAGAAUUUCGGUAUUUUACAUGAGAGAGCAUAUUGACUUGGUGUAUAUACUCCAAAACAAAGUAGAAUAGCGCAUUGUAUAUUUUUUCUGACAGAUUAUAUUCAGAGAAAUUUUGCUUUUAACAAUGGUGUGCCUAGAUAAUAUUUAGAUUGUUUCGAUUCACGUAAAAUUAGAAUCUCGGUAUUCUACAUGAGAGAGCAUAUUGAGUUGGUGUAUAUAAUCCAAAACAGUGCAGAAAAGGGCAUUGAAUAUUUUUUCUGACAGACUAUAUUCAGAGAAAUUUUGCUUUUAACAUUGGGGUGCCUAGAUUAUAUUUACAUUUUUUUCGAUUCGUGUAAAUUAGAAUUUCGGUAUUUUACAUGUGAGAGCAUAUUGAGUUGGUGUAUAUACCCCAAAACAGAGUAGAAUAGGGCAUUGUAUAUUUUUUCUGACAGAUUAUAUUCAGAGCAAUUUUGCUUUUAACAUUGCUGUGCCUAGGUAAUAUUUAGAGUUUGUUAGAUUCACGUAAAAUUAGAAUUUCAGUAUUUUACAUGAGAGAGCAUAUUGAGUUGGUGUAUAUACUCCAAAACAGAGUGGAAAAGAGCAUUGUAUACUUUUUCUGACAGAUUAUAUUCAGAGAAGUUUAGCUUUUUACAUUGGGGUUCUUACAUAUUAUUUAGAUUUUUUUCGAUUGGCGUAAAAUCAGAAUUUCGGUAUUUUACAUGAGAGAGCAUAUUGAGUUGGUGUGUAUACUCCAAAACAGAGUAGAAUAAGGCAUUGUAUAUUUUUUUGACAGAUUAUAUUUAUAGCCAUUUUCUUUUAACCUAGGGGUGCCUAGAUAAUAUUUAGAAUUUCUUCGA